UUGAAAAGUAACGGAGUAUGC
ensembl:piRNA 21ur-10582 ncRNA